rnacentral:rRNA from 1 species
AUUGAACGCUGGCGGCAUGCUUUACACAUGCAAGUCGAACGGUAACAGGUUAAGCUGACGAGUGGCGAACGGGUGAGUAAUGCAUCGGAACGUGCCCGAUCGUGGGGGAUAACGCAGCGACAGCUGCGCUAAUACCGCAUACGAUCUGAGGAUGAAAGCGGGGGACCGUAAGGCCUCGCGCGAUCGGAGCGGCCGAUGUCAGAUUAGGUAGUUGGUGGGGUAAAGGCUAACCAAGCCAACGAUCUGUAGCGGGUCUGAGAGGACGACCAGCCACACUGGGACUGGGAAACGGCCCAGGCUCCUACGGGAGGCAGAGGUGGGAAUUUUGGACAAUGGGCGAAAGCCUGAUCCAGCAAUGCCGCGUGCAGGAAGAAGGCCUUCGGGUUGUAAACUGCUUUUGUACGGAGCGAAAAGGCCCUCUCUAAUACAGUGGGCUCAUGACGGUACCGUAAGAAUAAGCACCGGCUAACUACGUGCCAGCAGCCGCAGUAA